rnacentral:rRNA from 1 species
AUUGAACGCUGGCGGCAGGCCUAACACAUGCAAGUCGAACGAGUGGCGGACGGGGGAGUAAUGUCUGGGAAACUGCCUGAUGGAGGGGGAUAACUACUGGAAACGGUAGCUAAUACCGCAUACCAUCGGAUGUGCCCAGAUGGGAUUAGCUAGGAGGUGGGGGAAAGGCUCACCUAGGCGACGAUCCCUAGCUGGUCUGAGAGGAUGACCAGCCACACUGGAACUGAGACACGGUCCAGACGCCUAAGGGAGGCAGCAGUGGGGAAGAUUGCAAAAUGUGAGAAAGCCUGAUGCAGCCAUGCCGCGUGUAUGAAGAAGGCCUUCGGGUUGUAAAGUACUUUCAGCGGGGAGGCGUUACCCGCAGAAGAAGCACCGGCUAACUCCGUGCCAGCCGCCGCGGUAAUAC